UACGGAGGAUGCGAGCGUUAUCCGGAUUUAUUGGGUUUAAAGGGUGCGUAGGCGGGCUUUUAAGUCAGCGGUAAAAAUUCGGGGCUCAACCCCGUCCGGCCGUUGAAACUGGGGGCCUUGAGUGGGCGAGAAGAAGGCGGAAUGCGUGGUGUAGCGGUGAAAUGCAUAGGUAUCACGCAGAACCCCGAUUGCGAAGGCAGCCUUCCGGCGCCCUACUGACGCUGAGGCACGAGAGUGCGGGGAUCGAACAGG
rnacentral:rRNA from 1 species